GAUGAACGCUGGCGGCGUGCCUAAUACAUGCAAGUCGAGCGAACGGACGAGAAGCUUGCUUCUCUGAUGUUAGCGGCGGACGGGUGAGUAACACGUGGAUAACCUACCUAUAAGACUGGGAUAACUUCGGGAAACCGGAGCUAAUACCGGAUGAUAUUUUGAACCGCAUGGUUCAAAAGUGAAAGACGGUCUUGCUGUCACUUAUAGAUGGAUCCGCGCUGCAUUAGCUAGUUGGUAAGGUAACGGCUUACCAAGGCAACGAUGCAUAGCCGACCUGAGAGGGUGAUCGGCCACACUGGAACUGAGACACGGUCCAGACUCCUACGGGAGGCAGCAGUAGGGAAUCUUCCGCAAUGGGCGAAAGCCUGACGGAGCAACGCCGCGUGAGUGAUGAAGGUCUUCGGAUCGUAAAACUCUGUUAUUAGGGAAGAACAUAUGUGUAAGUAACUGUGCACAUCUUGACGGUACCUAAUCAGAAAGCCACGGCUAACUACG
rnacentral:rRNA from 1 species